rnacentral:lncRNA from 1 species
GCAAGUGUCAAAUAAAAUAAUAGUAAUGAUUAUUAUUUAAAAAGAAGCAUAAAUAAAUAAAAUAAUGAAAAAGUAGAAAAAGACACAAAAAAAAGGAGAGCAGGUUUAGUCUGUCAACAAAGCAUAUUUUCCAGAAAUCCUUGCAACCGAUAGUACUUUCAUUUCAUCCAUCAAUUCAAUUCUCCGUUUUACUACAAAUUCUCUCUUCUUCUUCACUUCCGUAUCUUUCUUUCUCUUCUCUCCUGCCACAAUAAUAAACAAUUUUCCUCGUUCCCCGUAAUGCACCGAUAAUUAAAAUUAAUUAAUUAAAAUAACAUUACCACUGUUUAAUUAAGUUAAAUUAUUACAAACCCUUUUCCUUAAUUCAUUCAUGUAUGUUUAUUUGUUCGUGUGUCUGAAAUUUCCUUUUCGCGUUGAAUUUGGAAACAAACUAUUUUUGGUGACACGCAGCAGCGGAAGGAGAGAAAAAGAGCAGAAAGAAGCAUAAUAUAGAAAUUAGAAAGGUGAAGAUAGAUAGAUAGAUACUUACUUAGAUCUCAGAUAGAUAGAUAGAUAAAUUAGAUGAAUCCCUGAAAUAAAAAUAAAAAAAAAUAAAUAAAAGGAAAGUUAAAAAGGACUUAAAAGCUAAAAGCAAAGCUACCCUAGAAAAGCCUCUACUUUAUUGAAUUUGUUUUUUGUGUUUUGUAAAAAGCUUGUUUUCAUUGUUUAUUGCUUCCAGUUCCACCUCUCAAAAAUGUUAAUUUGUCUUCUAUAUUCAAAAAGUUUCUUCUCUUAUCUCUCCAUACACUAAUUUCGUUUUCUCACCAGUGCUUCUUUCUUUUUCUCCUUCUUAAAGUAAAGUCAAGUUUAACAACUUUCUCUCAUAAUAAACAAAUUCAUUUCAUUCUCAUCUUCUUCAAUUCAAUAUUCUCAAUUCUCAUCUUAUAUUUGUGAAAUGAGAGCUGGGUUAAGUACAAUCCAACAAACCCUAACGCCGGAGGCGGCUAGUGUUUUAAAUCAUUCAAUCGCGGAAGCCGGUCGACGGAACCAUGGCCAAACCACGCCGCUUCAUGUGGCUGCUACUUUACUAGCUUCACCUUCCGGUUACCUCCGACAAGCAUGUAUAAAAUCCCAUCCAAAUUCAUCUCAUCCUCUUCAGUGUAGAGCUUUGGAAUUAUGUUUCAGUGUUGCUUUAGAACGGUUACCGACGUCGCAGAACGCUAGUUCCACGUCGGCGAUGGAACCUCCGAUUUCAAAUGCUUUGAUGGCAGCUUUGAAACGUGCUCAAGCUCAUCAACGUCGUGGUUAUCCUGAACAGCAACAACAACCGCUUCUUGCUGUCAAAGUUGAAUUGGAACAACUCAUCAUAUCAAUUCUUGAUGAUCCUAGUGUUAGUAGGGUCAUGAGAGAAGCUAGUUUUUCUAGUCCUGCUGUUAAAGCAACGAUUGAACAAUCCUUGAAUUCUGUUGCGCCUUCUCCGGUUACUGUUAAUUCCAAUCCGAUGAUGGGAUUCCGGCCGGGGAUGGUGACUCCUGGAGCGGCGCCGACUAGGAAUUUGUAUAUGAAUCCGAGGUUGCAACAACAAGGAGGUGCAGCAGCUCUAUCGGGAGCACAUAAGGGUGAUGAAGUGAAACGUGUUGUGGAAAUAUUGAUGAGGACGAAGAAGAGGAAUCCGGUUUUGGUUGGUGAAUCAGAGCCUGAAGCUGCUAUUAGAGAAGUUUUGAAGAAGAUUGAAAAUAAGGAAUUAGGGGAGGGUGUAUUUAGCAAUGCUCAUGCUAUUUAUUUAGAGAAGGAGCUUCCUUCAGAUAGAGGGCAGAUACCUGUGAGGAUUAAAGAAUUGGGGGAUUUGAUUGAGUCUCGGUUGGGAAAUUCGGGUUCCUGUGGUGGUGUGUUUAUCAAUUUAGGUGAUUUGAAAUGGUUGGUGGAACAACCUGUGGGAUUUGGAUUGGGGAAUAUGCAGCAGCCGGCGCUUGCGGAGGCCGGCCGCGCCGCGGUGGCAGAGAUGGGGAGAUUGGUUGCCAAAUUUGGGGAGGGUGGUGUUGGUAAGCUUUGGUUAUUGGGUACUGCUACUUGUGAGACUUAUUUGAGAUGUCAAGUUUAUCAUCCUUCCAUGGAAAAUGAUUGGGAUCUUCAAGCAGUGCCAAUUACUACAAGAUCACCUCUACCUGGAAUGUUUCCAAGGUAUUUAAUUUGUAUAAUAUUCUAUGGUUGUUUUGAUUGUUCAUAAAGUAAUUUUGUUCUAACAAUUUUAUCACUGAUGGAUAACAUUUAGAUCUUCAUCUAAUUACAGUAUACCCUUGAUGACACAAUUUUAAUUUUAGCAAAUUUUGUUCAAUUGAUCUGUUCUGUUGCAAGAAUAAUUAAAGGGAUUCAUGUUUUAUUUUCCUGUUUGAUGGAAUGGAGUUGAGAAAUAUUCUUGAACAGAAUCAACUAUGGCUUUAGUUUAAGAGAAUCUUAUCUUAAUGAAUAUGUUAAUCCUGUGUUCCUUUUGUUUUGAGUUUUAAGUUUUAACUAUUAGUUUGCUUCUUUGACUUCCUACAGUUUUGUUUUGAAAGAAAAACGUGGGAUGUUUUAGUUUCCAUAACAGUGUUAUAAGACAAGAGAAUAUUAGCUGUUGUUUACCUUUUGUGCUAUUGGCAGGCAAAAUUAGCUUGACAAGGCUAUGAAACAUGGUUAAAUUGUCUCCCAC